rnacentral:rRNA from 1 species
UAGCUUGGGAAUCUAGCUUAUGGAGGGGGAUAACUACGGGAAACUGUAGCUAAUACCGCGUAGUAUCGAGAGAUGAAAGUGUGGGACCUUCGGGCCACAUGCCAUAGGAUGAGCCCAAGUGGGAUUAGGUAGUUGGUGAGGUAAAGGCUCACCAAGCCGACGAUCUCUAGCUGGUCUGAGAGGAUGACCAGCCGCACUGGGACUGAGACACGGCCCAG